rnacentral:rRNA from 2 species
UCCGUAGGGUGACCUGCGGAGGGAUCAUUACACAAAUAUGAAGGCGGGCUGGAACCUCUCGGGGUUACAGCCUUGCUGAAUUAUUCACCCUUGUCUUUUGCGUACUUCUUGUUUCCUUGGUGGGUUCGCCCACCACUAGGACAAACAUAAACCUUUUGUAAUUGCAAUCAGCGUCAGUAACAAAUUAAUAAUUACAACUUUCAACAACGGAUCUCUUGGUUCUGGCAUCGAUGAAGAACGCAGCGAAAUGCGAUAAGUAGUGUGAAUUGCAGAAUUCAGUGAAUCAUCGAAUCUUUGAACGCACAUUGCGCCCUUUGGUAUUCCAAAGGGCAUGCCUGUUCGAGCGUCAUUUGUACCCUCAAGCUUUGCUUGGUGUUGGGCGUCUUGUCUCUAGCUUUGCUGGAGACUCGCCUUAAAGUAAUUGGCAGCCGGCCUACUGGUUUCGGAGCGCAGCACAAGUCGCACUCUCUAUCAGCAAAGGUCUAGCAUCCAUUAAGCCUUUUUUUCAACUUUUGACCUCGGAUCAGGUAGGGAUACCCGCUGAACUUAAGCAUAUCAAUAAGCGGAGGAA